AUUGAACGCUGGCGGCAGGCCUAACACAUGCAAGUCGAGCGGCAGCGGGAAAGUAGCUUGCUACUUUUGCCGGCGAGCGGCGGACGGGUGAGUAAUGCCUGGGAAAUUGCCCAGUCGAGGGGGAUAACAGUUGGAAACGACUGCUAAUACCGCAUACGCCCUACGGGGGAAAGCAGGGGACCUUCGGGCCGUGCGGGAGUGGAUAUGCACAGGUGGGAUUAGCUAGUUGGUGAGGUAAUGGCUCACCAAGGCGACGAUCCCUAGCUGGUCUGAGAGGAUGAUCAGCCACACUGGAACUGAGAUACGGUCCAGACUCCUACGGGAGGCAGCAGUGGGGAAUAUUGCACAAUGGGGGAAACCCUGAUGCAGCCAUGCCGCGUGUGUGAAGAAGGCCUUCGGGUUGUAAAGCACUUUCAGCGAGGAGGAAAGGUUGAUGCCUAAUACGUAUCAACUGUGACGUUACUCGCAGAAGAAGCACCGGCUAACUCCGUGCCAGCAGCCGCCGUAAAAC
rnacentral:rRNA from 1 species